GUAGGUGGCAAGCGUUGUCCGGAAUUAUUGGGCGUAAAGCGCGCGCAGGCGGUCCUUUAAGUCUGAUGUGAAAGCCCACGGCUCAACCGUGGAGGGUCAUUGGAAACUGGGGGACUUGAGUACAGAAGAGGAAAGCGGAAUUCCAAGUGUAGCGGUGAAAUGCGUAGAGAUUUGGAGGAACACCAGUGGCGAGGGCGGCUUUCUGGUCUGUAACUGACGCUGAGGCGCGAAGGCGUGGGGAGCAAACAGGAUUAGAUACCCUGGUAGUCCACGCCGUAAACGAUGAGUGCUAAGUGUUAGGGGGUUUCCCGCCCCCUUAGUGCUGCAGCUAACGCAUUAAGCACUCCGCCUGGGGAGUACGGCCGCAAGGCUG
rnacentral:rRNA from 1 species